CGACAGAAGGUCGUCCGCCUCACAGCAGCCGGGCUGAUGGCUUUUUCAUCCCUUUGUUUAGUAUUCAAACAGAAAAAAAUACAAUUAAAAAUAAAACCACCAUGACAGAGAAUUGUAGGCAACUGUUGCUUACAUUAAAAAAAUACUAGUUUAGUAUUUAGCGACAUUAUUAUAUUCGUCAACUACAAAAUACCUGAACGUAAAAAAUCCACUAAUGUCACUUUACAGAUUGUACAAUAAGGAGCCAAAAAAUAACAGCUGCCGUCUUUUCUACAAAUUCUUUAUAAACUAAUGCGAUACAUUUAAUUUCAAACUGUAUGCAAUUCCAUUAGUCUGCAAAAGAGAGCACGUGAUCCCGCCGCUCCAUGCUGAUGGAUUCACGGCUGGAAGGGAAACAGAAAGACUUCCUACGUCACUGUGUUCCAAGCCAAACCGCCGUAAACAGAGUAUUUCAUGGAAACUUUACAUCCAGAGAUGCUGAGGCCACGAGGCCAUCUAUAGGAGGAUCCAGACUGGCAUCAUUUAGAAAAGUGUCUCCAUCCGCCACCGCGCGGAUGGAGACUGACAGGACAAACAGAUCCUUUUAUUCUGAAAUGUUGGACUAACUCCAGGGAGCGAAAGAAAGCUACAACUAAGAAACGCGCAACAAUGUGAAAAAUGCAUGGUGUUAUUCUGGCAAUAUGGUGUGAUACAGCAAAAAACACGGAGAGUUUUCGGGACCCCGCUCACCUCCACCGCCUGUCCGAGCUCCAGGUCGAAGCCCACCACGCAGAUGCAGUGCAGCCAGGCGGAGAAGCGGUCCCACGGCAGCAGAGGCGCCUGCUCCGACCCUUCUUCACCUCCGGGGCCGGGGGGCAUAGUUAUCUCCUCUGCCGGGGAGAUGCUAGCAGCGUCCUGGUCAUCCAGAUCCUCCGGCUCUUCGACCGGCUCUCCCAUCUCCUCGGAGCCUUGCAGCGCCAUGGCCACGGCCCGGUACCGACACGCAGAUGCUCGGGGGAACGCCGACGACCCGUAAAGUGUCUUUACGGGUGUUUUUAGUCGAUGUCCACAAAGAAAAACAACAAAAAACAACAAGAAGCAAGAUCAGCUGAGCUAGCAGUUAGCAGAGCUGGAGCGUAAUGGCGUCAUGUUUACGGCACAUGUGACGUCAUCACGCAAGAGCGUAUUCCGUCCCGAGUUUGACGCAGGAUCCAUGAACACAACGGCCAUCAACAUAAAUCUGUGGAUUGUUACUAAUAUUUCAAACCCAUGAAAAUUCUUUUAGGGCCAUUUUUAAACUAUAUUAGUAUAAAACACAGAUAUAAACUUCAUUCAUUUUUAUAUGUUUAAAUACAGUUUUUAAGCUUUCCAGUGAAGAGACGGCUAUUAAAAAGAAACAAAACUAACGUGAAAUGUGUUUUUCUUAAAGCUGCAUGGUGGUGGAGUGGUUAACACAUUGGCUUCACACCAAGAAGUUUGAAUCUGUGUGGAGAAUUUGCAUGUUCUCCCCGUACACAUGUGGGUUUUCCCUGGUUUACUCCAACUAUCCAAAAACACGCUUCGUAGGUUAAUUAGUGACUCUAAAUUCUCCCUCCGGUGUCUCAGUGUGUUUCUAUGAUGGUCUGGGGAACUGUCCAGGAUGAACUCCACCUUUAGCAAACCGUGGGUGGGAUAGGCUCCAGCAACCCCACACCAGAAAUAAACUGGUAUAGUAAAAGAAUGAUUAUGAGAGAUACCAGUUAUAAACAUUUUUUUUACAAUUAGGUUAUUUUAAGCACAGUUUGAUCAGAAUAGUUCAUGAAAAGACUUGUAUUGGUUCUGAUAGCAGUAGGAAUUAGUAAGGUCUCAGCAUAAUGGAGAGGGGCACUUGUGCUGCUUUUGGUUGAUUAACUAGUUUUAGUGUCAUUGCAAACUACUCUCUUUAAUUAAUUUACGCUGUACCUUUUAUGAAUAUUGGUUCUUUCUGUUUGUUUUUAUGGUCUUGUCAUUUAGACCUUGAGUCCGUAAUCAAUUAAUCAUUCAUUCAUUUCGUUAUCUUUAUCGACAUAUCACUUUCACAUGUCUUACAACAUAUUGCAUUGACAAAAUGUAUCUAUUGCAGUGACUAAUUAAUUAAGCAUUUGAAUGAAAUAAUGUGAAGUAGGCGGCUGGUUAUAUGGCUGAUGUGGGCUGUCACUGCCAACACUGCUUUAAAUAUAAUUAUACUGCAAUUUAA